rnacentral:rRNA from 1 species
GCUUGGAAGCAGCCAUUCAUUUAAAGAGUGCGUAACAGCUCACUAGUCGAGCGGUUUUGCAUGGAUAAUAAUCGGGCAUAAACAUAUUACCGAAGCUAUGGAUUUGUAUUAUAUACAAGUGGUAGGGGAGCAUUGUAACCUGCGUAGAAGGUGUGUUGUGAGGCAUGCUGGAGUGGUUACAAAAGAAAAUGUAGGCAUAAGUAACGAUAAUGCGGGCGAGAAACCCGCACACCGAAAGACUAAGGUUUCCUCAGCGAUGCUAAUCAGCUGAGGGUUAGUCGGGUCCUAAGGCGAAUCCGAAGGGAGUAGUCGAUGGAUAACAGGUUAAUAUUCCUGUACUUCUUAUAAUUGCGAUGGGGUGACGGAGUAUUGAAAGCACCGCGAACUGACGGAAUAGUUCGUUAAAGUACGUAGCUAUAGAACCAGAUUAAGAGUUAGGUUUUGGCAAAGUACGAUAGUACCACAAAGCUUCGGCAGCGUGGAUAGUGUGCCUAAAAGCUUCCAAGAAAAACCUCUAAGCUUCAGAUUAUAAGAACCCGUACCGUAAACCGACACAGGUAGUUGGGAUGAGAAUUCUAAGGUGCUCGAGAGAUUCAUGGCUAAGGAACUAGGCAAAAUAGACCCGUAACUUCGGGAGAAGGGUCGCCACGCUUUACGGCGUGGCCGCAGUGAAAAGGUCCAGGCGACUGUUUAUCAAAAACACAGGGCUUUGCUAAAUUGAAAGAUGAUGUAUAAGGCCUGACACCUGCCCGGUGCUGGAAGGUUAAGUGGAGGGUUUAGCUUCGGCGAAGAUCUGAAAUGAAGCCCCAGUAAACGGCGGCCGUAACUAUAACGGUCCUAAGGUAGCGAAAUUCCUUGUCGGGUAAGUUCCGACCUGCACGAAUGGUGCAACGAUCUGGACACUGUCUCAGCCAUGAGCUCGGUGAAAUUGUAGUAUCGGUGAAGAUGCCGAUUACCCGCAGCGGGACGAAAAGACCCCGUGAACCUUUACUAUAGCUUAGUAUUGGCUUUGGAUAAGUAAUGUGUAGGAUAGGUGGGAGACAUUGAAGCGGCGUCGCUAGGCGUUGUGGAGUCGUCCUUGAAAUACCACCCUUUGCUUAUCUAGAGUCUAACUCAGAGAUGAGGACAGUGCUUGGUGGGUAGUUUGACUGGGGUGGUCGCCUCCAAAAGAGUAACGGAGGCUUCUAAAGGUACCCUCAGCACGCUUGGUAACCGUGCGUAGAGUGCAAUGGCAUAAGGGUGCUUGACUGAGAGACCUACAAGUCGAUCAGGUUGGAAACAAGAGCAUAGUGAUCCGGUGGUUCCGCAUGGAAGGGCCAUCGCUCAAAGGAUAAAAGGUACUCCGGGGAUAACAGGCUGAUCUCCCCCAAGAGCUCAUAUCGACGGGGGGGUUUGGCACCUCGAUGUCGGCUCGUC